AAGGGAGGCAGCACCGCCAGGCGAUGAGUAGAGCUGGGCCCUGGCGGGCUGCCCCUGGGGUGUCUUGCAGUCCCUCUGCAAGGGGGGGGGUCUAGGGCUGUUCCUCCGAGGUCUCGAGGUGGUCCUUCGGGUGUGUCUGGGGUCGGUCAGCCCCUCUAGAAUCUUGGGGCGGCCUCCCGGGGGCCAUACUGCAUCACAUAGUGGAGGCAGGCAGAAGCCGGUUGGGGAGGGCCCGCGGUGCUUUUGGUGUGAAGAUCUCCAGGAAGAGUGAUUUUAAAAAUAGCCUGACUGACGUGUAAAGAACUCUAUCAAGUACCGUUUGCUGAGUCAUGAGAGCCUGUUCAAGUUCCAGCCUGAGAACUGAGGGAAGGGUUGGGAAGAUAACACUAGCAUGUGUAAUGUAACACAUGACAAUGGAAGAUUCUACAUAAUUAAGGGUUAACUCUGAAAUCAGAAGACAAGUUUUCCAAGACUUGGGAAGGUGGAGAGAUCAGAGAUCCGUGAGAGAACAAAGAAUCGGGUGUUUUGCAUGUCUGACACCCAUGGCUCCACCUGGAGGACAACCCUCACUCCUGUGGCCACACCUAGAAUCGACCAGCCCACAGGAGGACUGCUUCAACCCGCUAUGAUUUCAUCUCUGCCCCAGCCAAUCAGCAGCAAGCACCUGCUACCUAGCACUCCUCUCCCCCACACUGCUUUCCCCAAACCGCCUUUGCAAAACCCCUAAUCUGGUGGGAUGUGGUGGCUCACGCCUGUAAUCCCAGCACUUUGGGAGGCUGAGGCGGGCAGAUCACCAGGUCAGGAGUUCGAGACCAGCCUGACCAACAUGGUGAAACCCUGUCUCUACUAAAAAUAUAAAAAUUAGCUGGGUAUGGUGGCACGCGCCUCUAAUCUCAGCUACUCUGGAGGCUGAGGCAGGAGAAUCACUUGAACCUGGAAGGCGGAGGUUACAGUGAGCCCUGUGGGUGACAGAGUAAGACUUUAUCUCAAAAAAGAAAAAGAAAAACCCCUAAUCUACAAGGUUUGAAUGAGAUGAUUUGAGUACCAAUUCCAUCUCCCACGUGUUAUGGCCAGCCCUGUGUCUAUUAAACUCUCCACUACA
rnacentral:lncRNA from 1 species